CACAUAAAAACAAGUAAAUAAAAAAAAAGAAAAGGAAGCAUGGGGCAUACACAAUAAUGAAGUUUGUAUUUAUUGACUCAGGUUUUAUACCUUUUUUAUAGUAAAAUUAGUUUUAGACUCUGCCUUAUAACGAAUAUUUAAUUAACUUAUUUAUUCAUACUGAGGGUAAUAAGCAUCAAAUGUUUAGUACCCUCAGAUUAUCUAAGGGAAGGGGAGAAAUAUUAAUGAUUGAAUUUUUUUUUUUUUUUGCAUGCAAUGCUGAGAAUCGAACCCAGUGCCUCACACAUGCUUGGCAAGCACUCUACCACUGAGCCACAACCCUAGACCUAGUGACUGAUCUUAAUGUGUUAUUUGCUUUUCAUGUCUUCCUAAAGAACAGGGUUUUGAGUUUUUCCUGUAAAGAAGGAGUUACUUGGAGUAUUAAUAUUUGCAACUAAAUAUUCAUAGACUUAGGAAACUUGUGCUUAUUAUCAAAAGGUCUUUUGGGCUGGGGAUGUGGCUCAAGCGGUAGCGCGCUUGCCUGGCAUGCGUGCGGCCCGGGUUUGAUCCUCAGCACCACAUACAAACAAAGAUGUUGUGUCCGCCGAAAACUAAGAAAUAAAUAUUAAAAAAAUAUUUUUAAUUUAAUUCUUGUUUCUAAUCCUGUGCAUUAAAUAUAUAUGUUCUAAAAAAAAAUUAUGCUACACUCUUAAACAUAAUCUACAAAUUGGGCAUAUUGAAUGAAAAUAGCCACUAUCAAAUCUACCCUCCUGAAUUAUGAGAUAGUUACUAUUCUUUGUUCCCAGUUCAAAUACUCUACAGUCCUUAGAAAGAAUGACCUAAAGCAUACCAUUAAUUAAAAUGCAGACAUAUAACUGUUUUAAAGUAAAUAGUAAUUUUUGUUGCCUGUUUCAUUGGGCCCACCCUCUCUAUGUGGAUCUUCAGAAGGCUAAUAAGAAAAUGUGUUCUUAAAGUCAGAUUAGAGUUCACAAUAUAUUUUUUCCACAGAAAUAAUUUUACAUUGUCAUUGGGUAUACUUGAAAUAAUACUUUAAGCAUUUGUAUCUCAGUAGCAUAUAUGCCAAUAGGUUUUUUGUUCUGAUCUAGGUUUCUUACCAUCAUUUAAAGCAUUUUGGAGAAGGGGAAUGCCUCUUUAUGAUUGAAUCAAAGUACAUUUAAAAUGUAUACAAACUAAGUUAUUCAUUUUACAAACCAACGUUAACCAAACUAAAUAGUAUUUUUAAGUUAGAGCAAAUGAUGAGAAAAUUAAAAAUACAGCUUUCUAAAAGUUUUUAAAUUACCGUUGGCUAGUGUAAUUUAAGUUAGCUAACUUGAAUAUAAAAAGUAAUUGUUUCUGUGAGAGGAGUGAUAUACUUUUCAAGUUCAUUUUGCCUCUUACAAAAGCCAAACCCAAUAAAUAUCUUUUACUUGCUUCUUAAACACUCAAAAAUGAAAUAAAGCUAAAUCCAGAAAUUUGCUUCUAAGGAUUUUUCAAAGAUAACCAUAAGAAUUAUGUAGAAAAAUAUAUGCACCAGGAGUUAAUAAUUAUUAUUAUAGCAGAGAAUUAAAAGGCUUUUAUCUGGAUAACUGCCCAUAUAGGAUUAGUGAAAUGAAUUCUGGAACAUGUCUGAUAAAAUUCCAUAGAGUUAAAAUUUGUACUUUAUAAGAUAAGUAAACCACAUGGGAACAACUUGACUAUAAACUUUUAAAAAGAUUAAAAAUAAAUAUGAUGUUACCCCAAUUUUGCAAAAAAGAAAAAGUUUCUAUUUAUUUAUUUAUGUAUAUAUAAUCACACAUAAUAAAACACCAGAAAAUAUAGUAAAAUAUAAACAGGGCGGUUUCUAAUUAGUGAGAUUCCUUUUUUUUUUUUUUUUUUGAGGGGAGCACUUUGCUGAAGUAUUAAAUUUCCUACUUCGGAACUUAAAUUUUUACUUGCAAAAUAUUUGGUGAAUAUUUUUGAUAAAGAUAAAAUAUUUUUGAUAAAAAUACUUUUGUACCAGAAUUUGACACAG
rnacentral:lncRNA from 1 species